rnacentral:rRNA from 1 species
GCAUAGCCAUAAAUUUAAACAGAAAUCACACCCCUUCUGCUCGCCAGAAAACUACAAGCAUAAGCUCAAAACUCAAAGAACUUGGCGGCGCUUUAGACCCACCUAGAGGAGCCUGUCCUAUAACCGAUAAUCCCCGUUAAACCUUACCUUCUUUUGCAUCCAGUCUAUAUACCGCCGUCGUCCAGCUCACCCUUUAAAGGCAGAAUAGUUAGCAAGAUUAGUAAAGCUCAAGACGCCAGGUCAAGGUGUAGCAUAUAAGAAGUCGAAGAGAUGGGCUACAUUUCCUAACUCAGGACUUAACGGAAAGUAUUUUGAAAUAAGUAUAUUGAAGUAGGAUUUAGCAGUAAGUAAGAAAUAGAGAGUUUUACUGAAGCUGGCCCUGAAGCGCGC